UCUUUAAACAUGAACUUUAAUUACAUUUGUAGGAUACGCAUUAUGGAGGGCGUUUUCUAACAUUGUUUGUUAUGACUGGUAACGCUACUCGCACUACUACCACCGGUUGUGCAAAAAUUCAUUACGUUGAAUGUUUGCGUACGUGGUUCUUGUGACUCGGCGAAUUAUUAUCGGUUCCCUUUUGUGAAUUUUGCGUUUUUACUUACAUCCAUAACUCGUUUUGUUAGAUGGUUCUACGAUGAUUGCGAGCCCGUAGUUGUUUUAAAAAUGUUGCUAUAUCGUCCUUGCGAUACGCUUAUCGAUAAUUGAAUUCGUAUAUAUUGAACUAUUAUUCGCGCCAGUACAUUUUGCCAGUUCAACUAUUAUGCCGCCAACGACUUCACCCGCCUGAUUUUCAAAUAUCAACCAGUCAUCACCAUUAUUAUCGUAUAAGUAGUUGUGUAAUCAUAUUGUUUAGCUAUUUUUUGUUCUUAUCAUUUGUUUUAUUUUACGCAUUGUUGCAUUAACAUUAAUAGUCACCCCUACCCACAUUGAUGUAUAUAGUAUUUUGGUUUAAACUUUUAAUACAGCAUAAUAAGACAAUCCAAACAAUACUGUUAUUAUAAGAACAAUGAAAAAUAUUCAGUUCAGCGAUCGAAAAAGAUCCAGAAAAAAAUGAGACUGGCAAACACAACGUAAUGAUAUACGUAGUUGAAAACUUUAUUGAGUUUAUGGUAGGCAAUUUCAUUGAAUUGGCUGAUCAACUUAAAGCAGAAGUUGUCGUCUGGUCACCCCUUUGGGUCGACCCUAGUUAUUAAAAAAAGAAGAAAUAUACUUAAAAAGACAUGUGCGAGAGCAAGGAAAUCACGGAUACAAAAUUUUUUAAUUGCCCCGAUAAGUCAUCCCAAACGUUCUUUUUCAAUUGUGUCUCCUGAAUCUACUAGGGUAAUUCUGUCAC